rnacentral:lncRNA from 1 species
CAACAGACUGGUCCAGAGCAACUCUCAGGCGCUGAGCGAGCUGAUCCAGCUGGGACUGACCAUUAUCGGCCCUGGGACAGUGGUGGAGCCCAGUAAGGAGAACGAGCUGGUUGGCAUCAUCGCGGGGCUGGUUGGGGGCCUGGUGCUGCUGCUCCUCGUCAUGACGCUGGCCUUGCUGGCCACCAGCCGGAGCUACAGGAGGAAGCUGAAGGCCAUGAAAGCACUGAAGGUGGCAUCCACACUGACAGCCAGCAUGGCCCAGCAGGGGCCAGCCAUCCCCGGGACAAACAAAUACAACGCUGAGGGGGCUAACCCCGUACUCAAUCUCACACUGGACGCCCCUUCAGACCUGGGCUUUGACGAGGACUCCAACGCCGACGCCGCCAGCCUGAACUCGCUGGACGAAAACAUGGUGGAGAACCCGGCAGAGGGCAGCCCUGGUCCCCCGGUGCUGCAGCUGGGCCGGGCGCCAGCUCCGGCACAGCUGGGCGGCUGUGAGGAGCCCCUGACGGCCGCCCUGCAGGCCCACCGCACGUCUCUGGCUAGUGAGCCAGCUCGGCGACUGGGAGAGCCCAACAGGGCAACCUUCACCUUCAGCAACCCCUGCCUGGACACCACGGACCUGUGAGAGCCCCCGGCUGGUGCUGGGGAGGAGCAGCCACAGCGCAGCGGGACUUGUGUGGCAGAUCCCUACGGAGAGCUGGAGUGACCUGCUGGCUCUGUAAUGGCCCGUCCCUGCCAAUAAACCUGCCCAGCCUGGGGCUGGCA